rnacentral:lncRNA from 1 species
ACUCCAUGUAGUCGGUCGAACCCAUCAGAUCAGGGGGAUAUGUCAGGUGAUAGUGGGCGGCACGGUGAUCCAAGCAAAGAUAUUAUUUCUUAGUGAGUAGGUCUUCACAAGGAGGUAUGUUUUAUUCAUAUAUACACAUUCACACAACAAAUAGAAUAAUCACUCUCAAUACACUAAAUUCUAUUAUCCUCUUAAGUUAACUUUGUGAACAGACAUACUUACUCUCACGCCUGAGCUAUCCCCCGGCGGUCCGGCCGUCAAGCUUGUGGUGUUUGUCGUGUUUACUGUGCAGGAUCAGGACGUCUUUCGUGAUUGGGACGUGGAGAAAGAUCUUGGCGUUAACAA